rnacentral:lncRNA from 1 species
CACAAAAUGGCAGCUACCAUGGGCUCUGGAGCAAAAGUCCCUUACAAUUUCCAACCAUUGGAAGAACUCAAAGAAGCCCAGAAAGGAGCAGGAGAUGGCACAGUUAACUGCGGUCUAGAAGAUGAUGAAGACAUGACACAAGAUGCACAGGGCUAACAAUUGGGCCUCCAAGAACAAUUUAUGAAAACUGAAUAUACAGCCUUAAAAUAAAAUGUGGACCUAAAUAACCAGAAGCAGCCCUUUUGUAAGAUUUGUAACAUAAAUUAAUCUGAAUGGAGUUACUAGCUCCAAUGAAGUGGUGGACCCAUUUCACUGACCCAUAUCAAUGCUAGCAAAAUGGCAGAAUUCAUAUAGCAUCAAAGUUGUCCUGCAAGAGCUUCAGUGCCUAAUAAUGUCUAAAGAAAAUAUGAAACUCCUUCAGCUGCCUGAAGGACAGUUUCACAGCAAU